ACCCUUUAUGACGGAGAAACCCGCUUGUUCCUCCGCAACAGUGGCAUGUUGAUUUCUCGACAGAGUAGUUUUAGUUACUCGUCAUAUAAGUGCUGGCCUCUUCUUACAUGUGAAACUCAACAGGGUUGAGUGGCCUCUUCUAAAGCCAAAUCUUCUGUCCUGUUUGGUUGCUGAGAAAGUGGGGGGAAAAAGUAAAGAAAAUGAAUUUUUUGAGUCCUACUGGAUACUGUCAUUUCUGGGUUUUGUUGUAUAUUAUUUAUGUAGUUGAUGAAUUCGUUGAUUGUUGAAAGGUCUGACAUGAUUGUAUUUUUAUCAAAAUUAUAUAUACAAUUUUGACUGAUAGCAAUUUUGUGGCUUUGUAUACAAGGUAGUAAUUAAUUUUUUGGUU